AUAGCACCGGUUGUCAUACGAUCGCUGGAGUUAAGAAUCGUCGAGUCUGGUCAGUACUUGUAUGGGUGACCGCUUAGGAAUUCCAAGUGCU